CAGCACAAGUGAGUGUUUUGUUUCUUGCAUUUAUGCCUCGGUACUAGUUUCGCAUUUUGUGGCGACACACAUUGCACCUGUGAAAAUGAACUGUACAUUUUUAUGGCAGGCCAGCCCGUGGACAUACCGGCAUCCAGCGAAGGCACAAAAGGGCCCGUGUAACUACCCACUCGGGAAGGAGCACCUGCAGCAAUAUUGCAGCAAGCAUGCAGUGCAAGUGGCCAGCCCAUGGCCCUACCAGCACCCGGCGAAGGCACAAAAGGGCCCGUGUCACUACCCACUCGGGAAGGAGCACCUGCAGCAAUAUUGCAGCAAGCAUGCAGUGCAAGUGGCCAGCCCAUGGCCAUACCAGCACCCGGCGAAGGCACAACAGGGCCCGUGUCACUACCCACUCGGGAAGGAGCACCUGCAGCAAUAUUGCAGAAAGCA
rnacentral:lncRNA from 1 species